GACAGAGGUGCCGAGCGUUAGGCGGAAUCACUGGGCUUAAAGCGUGUGUAGGCGGGCCGUUAAGUACCUUGUGAAAUCCCCCGGCUCAACCGGGGAACGGCUGGGUAUACUGGCGGUCUUGAGGGACCUAGGGGCGGACGGAACAAGCGGAGGAGCGGUGAAAUGCGUAGAUAUCGCUUGGAACGCCGACGGUGAAAACAGUCCGCUGGGGGUCACCUGACGCUGAGACACGAAAGCCAGGGGAGCGAACGGG
rnacentral:rRNA from 1 species